AUCGGAGGAAAUGAAACCAACAGGGAUUGCCUCAGUAACGGCGAGUGAAGCGGCAAAAGCUCAAAUUUGAAAUCUAGCACCUUCGGUGUUUGAGUUGUAAUUUGAAGAUGGUAACCUUGGGUUUGGCUCUUGUCUAUGUUCCUUGGAACAGGACGUCAUAGAGGGUGAGAAUCCCGUCUGAUGAGAUGCCCAUUCCUAUGUAAGGUGCUAUCGAAGAGUCGAGUUGUUUGGGAAUGCAGCUCUAAGUGGGUGGUAAAUUCCAUCUAAAGCUAAAUAUUGGCGAGAGACCGAUAGCGAACAAGUACAGUGAUGGAAAGAUGAAAAGAACUUUGAAAAGAGAGUGAAAAAGUACGUGAAAUUGUUGAAAGGGAAGGGCAUUAGAUCAGACUUGGUGUUUUACGAUUAUCUUCUCUUCUUGAGUUGUGCACUCGUAUUUCACUGGGCCAGCAUCGAUUCGGAUGGCAAGAUAAUGGCAGUUGAAUGUGGCUUCACUUCGGUGGAGUGUUAUAGCUUCUGCUGAUAUUGCCUGUCUGGAUCGAGGGCUGCGUCUUUUGACUAGGAUGCUGCGUAAACACCCC
rnacentral:rRNA from 1 species